GAUGAACGCUGGCGGCGUGCUUAACACAUGCAAGUCGAACGGAAAGGCCCAAGCUUGCUUGGGUACUCGAGUGGCGAACGGGUGAGUAACACGUGGGUGAUCUGCCCUGCACUUCGGGAUAAGCCUGGGAAACUGGGUCUAAUACCGGAUAGGACCACGUCUUGGAUGUUGUGGUGGAAAGUUUUUUCGGUGUGGGAUGAGCUCGCGGCCUAUCAGCUUGUUGGUGGGGUAAUGGCCUACCAAGGCGUCGACAGGUAGCCGGCCUGAGAGGGUGUACGGCACAUUGGGACUGAGAUACGGCCCAGACUCCUACGGGAGGCAGCAGUGGGGAAUAUUGCACAAUGGGCGCAAGCCUGAUGCAGCGACGCCGCGUGGGGGAUGACGGCCUUCGGGUUGUAAACUCCUUUCGCUAGGGACGAAGCGUUUUUGUGACGGUACCUGGAGAAGAAGCACCGGCUAACUACGUG
rnacentral:rRNA from 1 species